rnacentral:rRNA from 1 species
UUCGAUGGUAGGAUAGAGGCCUACCAUGGUGGUAACGGGUGACGGAGGAUUAGGGUUCGAUNNNGGAGAGGGAGCCUGAGAAAUGGCUACCACANNNACGGAAGGCAGCAGGCGCGCAAAUUACCCACUCCUAGAUCGGGGAGGUAGUGACGAAAAAUAACAAUACCGGACUCUAAGAGGCUCGGUAAUUGAAAUGAGUACAGUUUAAAACCUUUAACGAGGAUCUAUUGGAGGGCAAGUCUGGUGCCAGCAGCCGCGGUAAUUCCAGCUCCAAUAGCGUAUAUUAAAGUUGUUGCAGCUAAAAAGCUCGUAGUUGAACUUCGGGGUUUACCCAUUGGUCAGGCUUAAUUGUCUGUACUGGUGAGAUAAAUCUCUACCUCCUGAGGAACUUUCAUGUCAUUAAUUUGGUGUGAUUGGAAAUCAGGACUGUUACUUUGAAAAAAUUAGAGUGUUUAAAGCAGGCUAACGUCUGAAUACAUUAGCAUGGAAUAAUGAAAUAGGACGGAUUGAUUCUAUUUCGUUGGUUUCUAGGAUCACCGUAAUGAUUAAUAGGGAUAGUUGGGGGCAUUAGUAUUCAAUUGUCAGAGGUGAAAUUCUUGGAUUUAUUGAAGACUAACUACUGCGAGAGCAUUUGCCAAGGAUGUUUUCAUUAAUCAAGAACGAAAGUUAGGGGAUCGAAGACGAUCAGAUACCGUCGUAGUCUUAACCAUAAACUAUGCCGACUAGGGAUCGGACGAAGUA